AGGACAUAUUUAAUUUCCAAUGCGUGUAGCUACGUGUCGUUGAGUUUGGAUCAUCUCAUUCUUAUGUUUGGCCUUUCUAACACACAAGUUCACAGCAUUGUGAGUAAGAUGAUGAUCACAGAGGAAUUGCAAGCAAGCUGGGACCAACCUGCAAAGUGUAUAAUAUUCCAUAGUAUGGAGCAAACAAGAGUGCAGACCCUCGCUUUCCAGCUUUCAGACAAACUCGGCGUUCUUGCUGAUAGCAAUGAAAGAGCAUAUGAGGUCCGAACAGGUGGUAGUUUGGAUGGGCUUCCUUCAAGACGGCGGACAGAUGGUCAGGAUUAUUCUGGAAAAUGGCAAGAUAAUAUCUUCACAUCACAAGGAAGGCAAGGUGGCGGUGGAGGACGUACAGGUUAUACUGGAAGAUUUGGGGGCUCUACACAAUCUUCGGUGGGAGUAUUCUCAAGGGACAAGGGAGUUGGAGGAGGGUAUGGAAUUCGGGGCACCGGUGGUGGUGCUCGGAAUCAAGAUGGAAGACAUUCAUAUCAAACAGGAUUGUCUAUGAAAGGAAGGCAGGCAGAUGCUUCAAGUCGUAUGGUUAGUCUUAGCAGGGGUGACAGAUUUUAAUGAAUGACUGUCUGACUUGGUAUUUUUUGCUUAUUGGCAAUUUUCUUAUAGCAUCGAUGAGGAUUAAAUCAUGAUCUUGAUAUAUUUUGUUUCUUCAAAUUAAACCAGUUUUAAGUUAUUGAUAAGUCAUGAUGAUGUUCUUGAUAUUAGAUUUAAUAAUUAUAAACUUUUAAUACUAUUCUGUUUUAUGUUGAAGUUCAAUUAUUCAUGCUUGUGUGAUUGUGUUUACAUUUUGCAUUAGCUUUUAAAUCUCAGUUUAGUUAUUUUUUUAGCGAGCUCUAUUGAAGUUCUUUUAUAUUGCAGUAACAUAUGGUAGCAGCUCUUCGUCGCCAUAUCAAUCCUGCAAUCAUUUAUCUGAUCAUACCUUGUAUGAUUUACUUACUCUAACAUUUAUUAGCAACAUAUUUAACGGUUAAUCCGUCAAAGCAGAAUUUGAAUUUUUAAAGUAAAAUAGAUUAGAUGAUUAUUUAAUUAUUUUCCUUCGAAAAAGACGUUAAAAAAUGUCAAAAAGAAAGAAGAAGAAAAUAUGGUGCUUACGGCUUACCCAGACAUCCAGGUUUUGACGUUUUAGAUAUAGAGAUAACUUCCAAAGCAAGAACAUGGGAGAUGCUGGCGCAGAUUUGAGAAAAUGGCGGAUUGUGAUCAAGAAAUUCCCACUCCACCCCCUACUCUGGCCAUGCUUUUUUGGUACAGUCAGCUCGAACACUCCUCCAGCAGUAGUUCUAGUAAAAAAAGAGCAAGCGAUUGGUAUGGAUUAUGGAUUCGUCAUCGUUUUUCUUCUUCUUUCGGUAUCAUUUGUUUGACGAUGAUGUGUUUGUGUUAAUGCCCAUGUCAGGAUUUUCUCCGAGGAGACCCCAAGUGAUAUCACUAUUGAUGUCGGAGGGGACGUCUUCAAUUUACAUAAGGUACGACGGGUUUAACUUGUUGGUACCAAAGUUGUGUAUUUGUAAUCCCGAUGGCCAUAUUGCAGUUCCCUCUGGUAUCAAAGUCUGGUUACCUGAAGAAAUUGCUCUCCAAGGAUAAAAAUGUCACCAACCUGUCCAUCGAGGUUGCCGAUGUUUCAAAAGCCUUCCAACUGGUAGUCAAUUUCUGCUACGGAAAAGAUUUCCAGAUAACCAUCGAAAACAUUGCGGCGCUCCGUUGCUUGUCGGAACAGCUUGAGAUGACAAACAAGUAUUCACCCAACAAUCUUGUCAGUGUAACAGAGGAUUACAUCCAACGUGUUGCAUUAACCAGUUUUCCUAACGCGAUCACUGUGUUGCGUUGCUCUGAAAAACUUGGUAAUGCUCCCAUCGUUGAGAGAGUCAGAUUGGUGAGUAGAUGUAUCAAUGCGAUAGCUUACAUAGCAUGCGACCAAGAUGAGUUCUACUCCUCACUGACAAAUGAAAAUCACCAAGGGUUUAUGGAUUGCUGGGCACAAGAUUUGACAGCCCUUGGGAUCGAUACAUUGGGAAAAGUUUUGUUUGCAAUGGCAAAAGCUGGAGUUAAACAGGAUGCUCUGGGGACAAUUCUUCUUCUCUAUGCUCAGAAAUCACUAAAAGGAAUUGUGAGUCAUCAAUGAAUUGAUAAUUCUUUUUAGUGAUUUCAUUUGAUUUUAAAUUUUUGAUGCAGGACAUAUUUGGGAGAGGAAGAAAGAAGAUGGAGUCAAGAAAGCAGUAUGAGAAAAAAGAGUGAUACUAGAAACCAUUGUUGGUCUUUUACCAAAGGAAGCAAGAGCCACUCUGCCAGUUACUUCUCUUAGCAUGUUGUUAAGAGCAGCGAUUUAUCUCGAAACAACAAUAGCUUGCAGGCUUGAUCUUGAAAAGAUGAUAAGUUUCCGGUUAGAUCAAGCCACAUUGGAUGAUCUUCUGAUUCCAUCUUUCUCCAUUGCCGAUGACACUUUGUUAGAUGUGGACACUGUUCAGAGGAUCUUGGUGAGCUUUUUAGAAUCCCAGAUUGAUGAUGAUAGUGUUGAUGACAUGGAGGAGGAGGAAUGUAAAAAGAAGAACAAAAAGGAGAGUAAGGUUGGAAAGCUCAUGGAAUUCUACCUUGCAGAGAUUUCUACUGACCUAAACUUAUCAGUUUCCAAAUUUGUUGGAUUUGCUGAGUUGAUCCCAGAAGAAGCAAGAACCACCGAAGAUGGCAUGUACAGAGCAAUCGAUAUCUAUCUCAAGGUAGUUCAAGAAGAGAUUGUGAAAUGUUAAUUAACAUCUAUCAUCAUAUAUUUUUUCUAAAAUGAUGUGCAGGCACAUCCGUCGCUAAACGACGUUGAGAAGAAGAAAAUCUCUAGUGCCAUGGAUUGCCAAAGGCUCUCUCUCAAGGCUUGCACUCAAGCAGCCCAUAACCAGAGGCUCCCUGUGCAGACCAUGGUUCAAGUUCUCUAUUACGAGCAGCAUCUUCUCCUUCUCCUGGAAGAAGAACUACAACAGGAACAGGAACAUGAACAAAUUCGUAACUGGCAGAUGAAGGUGCACCUUUAAGUGAACGGCGGGAUAAACUAAGAAUGGCGGGAUAAACUACGGUCUCUCCUUCUAAACCUCAUUUCAGUAAGUUUUGUGUAACACUGCACAAAACAUGUUUCAUUUGAAAUUUAGAGAGAGAAUGAGAAAUGAAAAUUGUGUUUGCAACCAGAAGGAAUUCACUGUGUUUGCAAGCGUUUCCCUUGCAGGUAUUUUUCUAUGAAACAGUGCUUGCAGACAUGCCAUUUUUAUAAAAAUUAAGACUUUACAAUGUGUGGCUAUAAUUAUUCUUGUUAAUUUGAUCUAUUAAUGUAGAUUAGCUAUGAAUUUGAUUUUUUACGUGAAGCUGAUGCAAUGAAGAGAAUUCGUAAAUUUGUGUAUGCUGCCAAUAAGAAACCUCCGGUUUUGAUACCUCGUGAAAUUAGCGGAUUGACAACUAGGUAUGACAAUCAGGUAUUUUUAAUUCUUUUGAAAAACUCCAGUUUUGAAAACGAAUUUAUUGGUGAUAGGGUAAUCUGAGUUUGUAAGCCAUAUGUUUGUAAAAUCAUUUGUGUUUUCAUAUUAGAUAUGAUUCAUGAGAUAGGUUUUGUAAAAUGAUAUGAAUCUUAUUAUCACUGUAUUUCACUCUUUGUGGAUUGACAAAUAGCUCAAUUAUAGGGGAUAUUGUAAUAUGGGGUAUGCUCAAUUAUUGACAGAUGUUCCAAUAAAAUAUACAUGUUCUUUUUAUAUAGAGAGACAUUAAUAGGUGUAGCCGCCGUGUAGGUAUAAUUUUAAAACUCAAUACUGCCAUAUAAAGUCAAUGGUUAUAGUUUUGCUGCAGUUCACUUAUUCUACAGUGUUUCAUAAUUUCACGUAUUCUUUAUUUUAAGAUACCUAAUCGUGGUACUUUCCAAGGUUUUAUCGACAGUCAUGCGGAGCUGACCGCAUGAGUCAGCUACACAUUUUGGGAUAUUUUGCAAAUAUCGUCCUACAUUUUCUUGUAUUUACACAAUAUAAAUAAAAUAUUAAGAUUUGAGAAAUGGAGAAAUAGAGAAUUGGAAUACUCGCUGGAGGUCUAACAGAUGUUGGAAAGGGUGGCUGAAGACUGUUCAGAGUGGAUAAGAAAACAGUGUAGAAAUCAAGCUCGUUGCUUUUUUUUAUAUUUAUUUAACCAUUUAAUGGUUAAAUGAUUAAGUGGAUCUGACCCAGCACAUAAAGGUGCUGGGCAGUAUACUCGCCUGGCCAAGCGCAUGAAAAACCUUGGUAUUUUCAACAUUGUUGCCUAUCAAUUUAGGAAUGCAAACGAGCCGAGCUAUACACUUAGAUUUGGGCUCAGCUUGCUAAGGUUUUAGUACAGCUCUGGCUUGAGCUCUCUAAGCUUGAUCGAACUAGACUUCAGCCCGGCUCGAAACAUGGGAUCGCAAGUCCAAUAUCUCAAAAAUUAAUUUUAAAUAUUAAAUUUACAGUACCUGUAACUUGAACACAUGACAUUUUCAAAAACUUUUAAAUAAAUUAACCACUCAACCAGAAUUUCUCUAUUUAUAUUUAAUGAAAAUACAUUGUAUAUUAUUAUUAUUGAGCAUAAUGAGCCGAGAUCAACCUUAAUAAUCCUUGCUCGGCUCGUUAAGCUUGACGAGCUUAGACCCUAGACUUGAUCUCAGCUCUUUAAACUCACGAAUCGAGCUUAGAACUUGCAACCCUACAUCCCUACCUAUCAUAUUAAUUAAUUUAUUUGAUUUUGAUGAUGUUCAUUUCUAAAUUUUUUUUUGCUAUUAUCAUACCUCAUAGUAUCAAUAUACAUUCUACGUUUAAUGUCAGGAGGGUCCUAGUAAUGGAUUUCAUUGAGGGAAUUCCGAUACUUAAUCUUGAAAUUGAAAUGGUUAUGUGUGGCCUUAAGCCCUUAAUCCUUAUGGGAAGAUAUCAGAUGCUGCAAAGAAGUAACUCUCUCCGAGCACAAGAUUGCAGUCUCUUUGAUUUUAAUAUGUAUACUCAUCUCUAUCUGUCGCUUUUGUUGCUUAUUCAUAUAUAUUGCUUGCACUGUUAAUUAAUUUUAUAACCUAUAACUUCACGAUAUUCUAAAGAUUGCAGUCUUCCCGUUUUUAUACUUUUAUGAAUGGUAUAAUAUUUGUACAUCCAUUGUAGAUCGUAACAUAGUGCUAGGUAAUGUAAUACUGAAGUUAUGGUCGUUGAUCUUUUUGUGACAGAAAUAUCUUGAAGAACUUGACCAAUGCUUAUGGUCAAAUGAUAUUAAAGAGUGGGUUCUUUCAUGCAGACCCUCAUCCUGGAAAUAUUUUGAUUUGUAAGAAUUCUGAGGUAUGUUUUCAAUUAUAGAAACAUCAGCUUUCUCUCUAUAUACUUUAAUCAUUUCGUAUCACGUGUUUUUCAGGUUGCAUUGCUAGACUAUGGACAAGUAAAACAUCUCCCAGAAUAUUUGAGGCUAGGAUAUGCUAAUCUUGUUCUUGCUAUGGCAGAUAAUGAUCCUUUGAGAGCAGUACAGAGUUACAAGUAUGUGUAUGUGUCGUAAACUAUUAUGCAUAGACGGUAUAAAGUUACAGAUUUGACAUGUUUACAUAUGAUAAUUGUUGAACUCGUGAAGAAUUUAAUUACAAAGUCAAAGCAUUGCUAAUACUAUUUUACAGGAAUUUACAUUCUUUAGUAGAUAUCAUCGCCAAUUCACUCUCUUUCUAGUGGUUUGAUAUUAUUAAGAGUAAUUUUGCAGAGACCUUGGAAUUGAAACAUCGAGUACAUGUGCUGAUGAAUCGAAGGAGUUGCUUCAAUUGGCUCGGUCAAUGUUUGAUACUAAGCUCCCACCUGGAGUAACAAUUUUAUCUCCAUUUGCAGAAGAUUCAUCAUUACAAAAAGUUUCUGUUCCAGUAAGAAAUUAGUUUUGAGUAUUGUACGGUAUUGCAACAGAAUCAUUAAUUGGACAGUUUAAUCUUAAUUGCAGAGUUUUCCAGAGGAGUUGUUCUCUGUUCUACGCACAAUGCAAUUGCUGAGAGGACUUAGUGUUGGUAUGGGUGUGAAUUAUUCUUGUGCAGAACAGUGGAGGCCUAUAGCCGAAGAGACAUUGCAUAAAGCUGGAAAAUUGAAAGGUAUCGAUUGCUUGAUAUAUUGAGAUGCAAAUUAUAUGCAUCAUAUUGUAUAGAAAAUAUGUGACUAUUGCAAUAUUGCUUAUUUUACUUCAGAUUUUGAACUCAGAUCGAGGAAGCAAGGAGUGUUGAGAAAAAAAUUAGAGAGAUGACAAAGAAAUGGUGGUAUAAUGAAAAAUAUUUUUUUAUGAUUUGAUGUAUACACUCAUUAUUAUUUGUGUAACCAAAGCAACACGUUUUCUUUGUAUGAAAAUUGAAAUAAUGGCAAUUAACCAACCUAUUACAUAUCAAUUAUCAUUAAAUAACUGAAUGAAAGAAAUGGUGAUCUUGUUUUCAGCAAUCUCUUCCAAGCAUUUCCAUCUGGCGUCGCGUUUUCUGGUAAUUUCCAUUUCUUUCAUUUCCACUUCAUGCAAUUUGCUGAUGCAUCCACGGAUUAAUUCUGGAUCAUGAUCAUAGAUUAUUUUCCUCACACUUAAUGUAAGACUCUGCACAGCACGGUUCCAAUGAUUCUUAUUUCUCUCUAAAGCAGGGAGGACGAUGGGAAGUAUGACUCUGAUGUUUUGCCUGAUCAUAUUCUCAAUGCGAUCGUUGUUCCGUAAAAACAACGCCCGCUCAGCCACCUGUGCACAUGCAUUGUUUGAGAGAGAGAGUAUGAAAAAAGAAGAGAAUGAAAAAUAAUAACCUGAAAAUGUGGGCUGGAAAUGCAGCUUCCAAUCUGUUGAAAGAGUGGGAUCAUGCACCGUUGAAAUUCAGGAAUCUCUGUUAAAUCAAGGAUUUGUUCUAAUUCCACCAGGAACAUUACUUCCUUUGAGCUAUUUGUCAAUGGCCAAUACUUAAGCAUACCCCUUAUUACAGAAUCAGCAAGUUUGCAGUCUUUAUCUACAAACUGUGCAAUGCAGUGUGACAACUGGCGAUGAUAAGAUGGUAGUGACUUAGGUUUAUGCAGAGGAAUCAAUACCUUUAUGAGAAACAGUUUAUGUUCUUCUUUAAGUGGCAGAGCAAAUCCAUUGAUAAUACUGCCUAGGAUCUCUAAAAGCUCUGCAAUCCCAUUGUGGUUCUCUAUUUCAAAUAUUAAUUGAAAGAAGAUAUUGUUUACAGCUCUCCUGAUAAAUGGGCGAUGAACCGUGAAUUUACCAUACAUUCGUUGAAGAAUAGCCUUUAAGUACUCUCUUUCUCUUUGACUUCAGAGUCAAACAAUUCCAGUAACUUCAAAACAGUCAAUUGGUCUAUAUAUCUCUUUGCCAACUUGACAUCUGUUUCUGGAGAUGUAAUGAACCUGGGCAGUAACUCGUACACAGCAUGUAAAUGCAGCCAUGCAGGUUCCAUGGAUGCUUCGUCUUCAUCUGUUUCAAAGUCUUCCACACCCUUAUUGGACGGACUUAAUGCUCUGAAUAGGUUGAGAGAGAUCAUUCUCAUGACUUCUUUCAUGAUAAUCUCCGGAAACUUUGAAUUUGCAGAAUUGACAUAUUCUACCAGCUCCAAAAGUGUCCGUCGUUUGACAUCUUUCUCAGUUAAAUUCUUGGUCAUGUCAGUGAAAUCGAAGAUAACAUAGCACAUGUUGAGUUUUUUGAUGAACAAAUCCUGUUUCUCAGCAGCGCUAGAUAUAUCAUCAAAUCCUGGAAGUGGUUCAUGUACCUAGUUGAUCGCAUUUGAUUGCUGGUAGUCAUUGCUGUUCUCGAAUUUUAUUGGAUUUUUAGGUAUUCGUCCUAGAAUUUGUUUGAUCAUCAUGUCUAGCAACUAUCAAGAUCGUAGAAUUAACAUUCUUAUUAUAUCUACUCUACUUUUUAGUUUACUUGCAAAUAAUUAACAUUCUUCUUCUAACCUCUAUCCUCUUGAUUUCCUUUGUUUUGUCUGGUGUAGUGGUGGAUGAAAUUGUCAGGGGAAAUAAAGCAAUUAACCCCUUAAACCCUUAAGAAAGAUAAAACAAGUACACAAGAGAAAUAAAGCAAUUAACCCCAUAAGGGCUAAUAGACAAAUAACCCAAUAUGAGGGUAUAUAAUGUAACUCAGUUAUUAUAAUUUACAUCAUCAAGUUUAUCUCUAUUACAUCAUCUAUCUUCCUCCUGUACUACCUCUCUUCUCCGAUCAUCAAUCUGCUCCUCCGACUUCUCCGACCAUCUUCACUUUCUCAACAUGGUAUCAGAGCCAUCGAUCCUACACCGCUCUCAAUCUCUGAGUUCCCUCUCCGAACACACACAAGCAACCUUCCUACAAAAACAGGCCAACAACACCUCAACCCAAUCCCCUCCACCACUACCCAAUCUCGAAAAUCCAGAGGAUGACAGCAUCCUCAUCAACGGAACCAUCAACAAUCCCCAUCGCCUCCCAACGUCCUAUAACAUAAACUCACUCUUUCGCAACCCCAUGAACAAGACAGAUUAUAUCUGUUGGAAGUCGCACUUCCUGGGAGUCUUGAAACUCCAUGAUCUCUCCGGCGUAAUCAAUGAACCGGACCAGAAGUUGGAAACCACUACUGGGGAUGUCAACACCCAAUACUCAAAAUGGGUGAAGUCCGAUCAACUUGUACUCACGUGGAUAAGAGCAACUGUCUCCCCGGCGGUACAAUCCAUGAUCCUACACUGCACCACCUCAAAGGAGGCAUGGCACUUGCUGGAUCGGUUCCUCUCGCCACUAUGCAGUAUCCAUAUCAAGGCACUGAGGACAAAGCUACGAGCCACCAAAAAGAAGCCUGAAGUCUCCAUGUCUGAGUACUUGAUGAAGGUCAGAGCAACCAUCGAUGCCAUUCGUGCUGCCGGCUCCGUGAUAGCUGAGGAAGAAAUCAUUGGCUUCGUGGUUGACGGACUCGACGAAAACUACAGAAGUUUCCUGACGCAUCUUCACUUCAGCCCAGCCACAUCAUUUGACGAAUUGGUCAGUCACCUUCUCCAAGAAGAGGAUCUGCUCAAAAGAACAGAGCAGCCGGUCAACCCCAUCGCAUUCUCCGCGCAACAGCAGUCGUCGCAACAUCAUUCGUCGACAGAAGGAAAUAACUCCAAUCAACAACCGAUAGGAAACAACUCUCACAACCAAAACAACUUCAGAGGCCGGCCCAGGGGACGCGGAGGCCGAUAUCGAGGAGGACGAUUUAAUGGGGGACACUUCGGCAGAGGAGCAAACAAUCAACACUACAGGGCACCAACAUAUCACCCCCCCCCCCAACUAUCGACAUCCAGAACACUUCUCGCCGCCGCUACUACCAACACCAGUCUCUAUCGGUGAACAGGUGUGCCAAAUAUGCAAUCGCGCGGGCCACACAGCGAGGUUCUGUAAUAAUCGGCGUAACUAUGCAUACAACGCUCGCCUCAUCAAUGACGACAACUGUGCCAUGUCCGUCCACAGCAGCGCUCCGUCAGCAACAUCUGAAAGCUCGUGGUGUCUCGACAGUGGGGCGUCGAACCACAUGUCUCCAUCUCUGAACUCCUUCAACUCCUUCCAACCUUAUCAAGGUAAAGAUACUAUCAUGGUUGGAAAUGGUUCCCAAUUGCCGAUACUAAGGCAAGGGACUGUCUCUCUCACGACCUCUCUCGGUCGAAUUUUAAUUCCCAAUGUCCUAUACGUACCAGGACUCCACAAAAACCUACUUUCAAUUCAAUCACUUUCCAAUGAUCUAAACUGUGUUUGUUCCUUUGAUUCUAAUGGGUUCACCGUCAAGGCCAAGGAGACGGGAGCUACUAUCAUGAAUGGCAGUAGUGGCCAAGGCCUUUACCACCUCGACAAUUCAACGACAGGCAUCUGCAAGGGAAAACAAGCGUCUGCCUGUACGAGAUUGACGCCGGUGGUAUGGCAUCGUCGGUUGGGUCAUCCGGCUCAACCGAUUUUAUCUAGCGUUCUAAACUCCGUCUCUCCAGCUUCGAUCGACCGUCGACCAUCUACUCUUCCUUUCUUCCAGGUCUGUGCCCUCAAUAAAGCAAAGAGACCUGCCUUUCAUCAUCGUACCUACAUAGCCAGACAGCCACUGGAACUCAUCCACAUCGACCUUUGGGGGCCGGCUUCGGUGACUUCCAGAGAAGUGUUCAAGUACUAUGCGUGCAUAGUGGAUGAUUUCUCCAGAUUCACCUGGUUCAUCUCUUUAGUUCAAAAAUCCGACUUCACUUCCCAUUUCAUUAACUUUUGUAAUUUCGUCGAACGGUCAUUUGUCUUUAAAAUUCAAAAAAUUCAAUGUGACGCCGGCGGUGAAUUCGUCGGCCACAUUCUUCGAAACACUCUCUCAAAACUCGGUAUCCAACAACGUUUUUCCUGCCCUUAUACGCCACAGCAGAACGGCGUCGCCGAACGGAAACAUGGACACAUCGGCGACGUCGGCAGAUGCUUCCUACACCAGGCAUCACUACCACUAGAGCUCUGGACAGACGCGUACUCGAGCGCGACAUUCGUCAUUAAUCGACUUCCAUCAGUCACAACGAACAAGAAGUCACCGUACGAGGUACUAUUUGGGCGAAUCCCAGACUACUCACUACUACGGACCAUCGGAUGUCUCUGUUUUCCAAUCACACCCAACUCUCAGAGAACAAAGCUCCAGAGUGUGGCCACUCGAUGUGUAUUCAUUGGUUAUUCAAAUACGCACAGAGGGUACAAGUGCAAAGACCUAUCUACUGGGAAAAUAACAGUGUCACGGCAUGUUCUCUUUGAUGAAUGCACGUUUCCGUUCCAGCAGCAAACCCAAACCCAAGUACAGCCAGAGUCACACUUCAGACAACUGCCAUCUGCACUAAUUUCACCUCCUACAAGGCUACACACGAUUCGGGAAGCUGAUCAGAUACGAUCAGAAGAUCAUCCAGGAUCCUUAUCGACACAGACGACACAGACUGAUCGUCCAUCAGAAGAAACAGAGGACGAUCGAUCAGCUAUCUACCUCAAUCCGUGUACCGAAACAACGGCGUAUCCCGACACAACUAUCAUAAAGGAUACGCCGAAUAUCAAUCAAGACUGCAACACGAGAAAAUCUGAAAGAGUAAAGACACCACCCUCCUGGCUAAAGGACUAUGAGACAGAGGAUCAUGAACGAACAGGGCGCCAAAAUUCGUCGGCCACAAUCACCAGUUUAAAAGAAACCGGGUCCCCCAAUUCAACAAGGAAUGAAUCCGCUCAAUCAAAACCCGCCCGACUACACUCAUCCGAAUUACCCAAAUCAGUCGGACACUCCCAAACACAAUCCCAAAAUUUAAACAAGAUCCGACUCAUCAAAUUCAAUCGGUCGGACACUCACCCGAUAUCAGACGAACAACUGAGCACCAUCGUCUCCGACCCACCCCGCCGGACUGCGACCAAAAACUGCAACCUGGCCAUUAGUGAACAGUCCGAGCCGACGUCCGUCAGAGAAGCAUUCAAAUCUCCCCUCUGGAUGGAUGCAAUGACAGAUGAAAUCCAAGCACUUAACAUCAACAAUACCUGGAAGCUAGUUCCCAGACAAUCGGGAAUGAAUGUAGUUGGCUCCCGAUGGGUCUUCCAGGUUAAACAAAACUCUGACGGAUCCCUCAAUAGGUACAAAACUCGGCUUGUAGCGAAGGGUUUUCACCAGAAAUACGGGGAGGAUUAUGAUCUCACGUACAGCCCGGUGGUGAAGGCUGCCACUAUACGAACGAUACUGGCAAUUUCGACAUCCCAACGGUGGAAACUUCAUCACCUUGAUGUCUGUAAUGCGUUUCUUAACGGUCAUCUAACCGAAACAGUCUUCAUGGAACAACCUCCAGGGUUCACAAUGAAGAAAACAACGGCCAAAUCUCACGUCUGCAAACUACAAAAAGCGAUCUAUGGCCUGAAACAGGCACCGAGAGCCUGGUAUCAACGACUAAAAGAGUUUCUUCACAGUUGUCAAUUCCUCAAUUCCACAUCUGAUUCAUCACUAUUCAUCAGAAGAAACAACGGAAGGGUCAUCUACGUUCUAAUCUACGUAGAUGACUUCGUAAUCACGGGCGACUGCGAUACAGAGGUUAAAGCUUUCAUCGACUCGGUCUGCAGACAAUUCAAAUGCAGGGAUCUCGGACAACUAUCCUUCUUCCUAGGCAUUGAAAUGGAAUCGACUGCAACGUCCACGAAGAUCACACAGAGAAAGUACUCCCUGGAUCUGCUUGCGAAAUUCAAGAUGAACAAUUCCAAACCAAUCUCGACGCCAUCGACACCAGGAUCCAAACUAACAGCCAACUCAGGGACACCAAUCGAGGAUCCGACUCCAUAUCGGAGCCUGGUUGGAGCUUUGCAAUAUCUCAGUCUCACUCGCCCAGACAUCGCAUUCUCAGUUAAUCAAGUAUGCAAAUUUAUGCAAUUACCAACAACAACCCAUUGGCAGGCAGCCAAACGCAUCCUUCGAUACAUCAAAGGCACCAUUGGUUUUGGGCUCACCUACACACCUUCAACCUCCACAGACCUAAACAUCAUGGUCGACUCGGACUGGGCGGGUGACCCAGAUGACAGACGCUCAACGACCGGAUCUUGUGUCUUCCUCGGCCCAAACCCGGUGGCCUGGAUGUCCAAAAAGCAGCCGACGGUAUCACGAUCCAGCGCCGAGGCUGAAUACAGAGCCAUCGCACAUGUCACGGCCGAGCUCAAAUGGUUCUGCUCGCUCCUAAGGGAGCUGGGAGUGUAUCUGAGACAAGUUCCAGUUAUUCACACUGAUAGCAGAUCGGCAAUUUUUAUGGCAACCAACCCAGUGAUUCAGGCUAAAACGAGGCACAUUGAAAUCGACUACCACUUCAUCAGAGAGUUCAUCAUCCGCGGAGAUAUCAGCCUCAAAUUCGUUCGGUCGGAAAAUCAAAGUGCAGACAUCUUCACCAAAGCUCUACCGGCGUCACUCUUUCAUCGACACCGGCAACGUCUGCGACUCACCGGUGUCGAAGGGGGGUGUCAGGGGAAAUAAAGCAAUUAACCCCUUAAACCCUUAAGAAAGAUAAAACAAGUACACAAGAGAAAUAAAGCAAUUAACCCCAUAAGGGCUAAUAGACAAAUAACCCAAUAUGAGGGUAUAUAAUGUAACUCAGUUAUUAUAAUUUACAUCAUCAAGUUUAUCUCUAUUACAUCAUCUAUCUUCCUCCUGUACUACCUCUCUUCUCCGAUCAUCAAUCUGCUCCUCCGACUCCUCCGACCAUCUUCACUUUCUCAACAGAAAUCUUGGUUCGUUUCAUUCUAUAAUUUUAAUUAUUUCAGUAUAAUGAUAUGGUCAAUGGGUUUGAGUUCGCAUCCACCUCCAUGUGGACAGGGGCGUAUCUAGGGCCCUUGCCCUCCACCCUAAAUGUUGGAAAAAAUUGAAGAUCUAUAUGUAAUAAUUUUUUUAUAUAGGGUUAAAUGUAAUUUUUACAAUAUAUUAAUAUUUUUUUAAAGGUUAAUAUAUAAAUUUUACAAUAUUUUAUACCCUCACGUUUCACAAAUUUUCUCCCCCUCUUCUCCCCCAAAACCCUUAUCUUCUCCGACCUCCGGGAAUCUCUUCUUAGAUUCUUCACUGUGGUUGCUGCCUUGCUGGAAAUCUCUUCUCCAGUUAUCUCUCCGUUGCUACUUGCUGGAUUCUCUCAUUUCUCUGGUAUUUAUUUGUUGAUCUUGUUUGUUGUUUCUACAUAUUAUUUGGGUCUGAUGGAUAUGAUACGAUGGUGAUGGUCUGAUGGAUUUUAUUGAUGUUUGAUUUAUUUAGUUGAUUAGUCCUCAUAUGAAGUUAGGUUCUCCGGUCUGCAUAUGAAGUUAGAACUCACAUGUUAAUGUUCUGUUUUUGAAAAAGAAAAGCACAUUAAGAGAUUUUCUUUUCAUCUUCGCACAUAUAUUCAAGUUUGGGAAUGUUGAAAAUUGACGGCGGUAUUGUUCCUGAUAGAUAGUUGAAACUCAAAUCCCUAAAAAAAUUCCAAGGAUGUGAAUUUAAUGAUUUUAUAUUGAUGAAAUGUGUUGUUAAACAAAUGGAGAGUAUAAAAAAAAUAAAACUUACAGAUAUGCCAAAUUUUCAAAUUCCCCAAUGCUGGAUCCUGGAUGGAAUCGUACCAGCUAUUCUAGUGUUUCUUAAAAUCCUAUUAUCAUUCAAACACAGCUAAAAUAUAAGUAUUAUGUAAAUUAAAAAAAUAUAGAUAGAUAGAUCAUAUAUAGAUGAAUCUUUCUUAAUGGUUUGGACUUUAGGGUUAAUGUAUUGAAUAUUCCUAAAUCAAUUUGAAUAUUAAUUAAUGUAUUGGAUAUUAAUUAUGGAAUGAAUGUAUUGAAUUUUUAUAGGUUUUUAUAAUCUAUUUUAUGAAUAGGUCGUGCCAAAAUUUUUAUAGGUUUUUAAAUCAGUACAAAAAAAUUUCCCGCCUUCGGCGAUUCUUGCCCCCCCUGUCGGGGAAUCCUGGAUACGCCACUACAUGUGGAUCCGCCAAUGUUCUCAUUUCUUCACCACCUUAUUGAUUUUGUUUAUUAAUUUCAUAUUUCCCCUCCUUUCUAUCGAUCCUUCUGCAGACCUCUUUCAGAAUUUGUUCCUCUUGCAAAAUCCGUAACUAUUAACUACGAACUGUGAGAUCUGGGAUUUGACAUCCAAAAAUUCCCAUUUUAAUUUCUUAGCCUUUUUCCUAUCCAAAUUAUCUGUCAACUGUCAGAUGAUUUUAUGCAAACACUUUCUAAUAUUUGCUUGUCGACAUCCUAUUUUGGGUUUGUAGCUUGAAUAAAUUUUCAAUUUUUAUCGUAUAAUGUAUUACUCUCGGUAAUCAAGCUUAUCAACUUCAGCUCUGAUUUUUUGUUUCAUGUCUGCAGUUAUUUUAAGACCAAGUUACUGUCUUCAAUAACACGCUAAAAAAUCAUGGCCUCCCGUUUCUGGACUCAGGUAAUCACGGCUUGUGUUAUUUCCCCAAAGAAAAUACUAAAAUAGUGCUCCCUUCUUGGUACCCUUUAUUUUGAAGACUUAUUUAUUUCUCUUGUGAUGAAUUACCAGGGUGGUAGUGACACCGAUGAAGACGAAAGUGAGUAUGAAAUUGAUUCAGAGGAUGAGGUCGAGCCAAGUUCUGGUGCAAAACCAGCAAACCGUUAUCUGGAGGAAAAUGCUAGUGAUAGCGAUGACUCUGAUGGCCACAAACGUGUGGUGCGCUCUGCCAGAGACAAGCGCUUUGAUGAAAUGUCAGCUACUGUAGAUCAGAUACGGAAUGCCAUGAAGAUCAAUGAUUGGGUAAGCCUGCAAGAGAGCUUCGACAAAAUUAACAAACAGCUAGAGAAGGUCAUUCGGGUGAUGAAAACCGACACGGUCCCCAAUCUUUACCUCAAGGCUCUAAUCAUAUUAGAGGAUUUUCUUGCCGAGUCCCUGGCAAAUAAGGAUGCCAAGAAGAAGAUGAGCAGUAGCAAUGCCAAGGCAUUGAACUCAAUGAAGCAGAAACUAAAGAAGAAUAACAAGCAGUAUGAGGAGGCGAUUACAAACUACAGACAGAAACCCGAAACUGAGAGUGAAUCGGAGAGUGAUGCUAACGACUCUGAAUCAGUUUCAGAAUUUGAGGAAGAUCCAACAGCAGCUGCACCCUCCGAUGAGGACAACGUCGAUGACCAGGAUCAAAAUGAUAAGGGUUGGGAGCGACAGAUGAACAAAAAAGACAAACUUAUGGACAAGCAGUUCAUGAAGGACCCAAGUGAGAUCACAUGGGAAAUAGUUGACAAGAAGUUUAAAGAUAUUGUGGCUGCAAGAGGUAAAAAGGGAACCAGCAGAGCUGAGCAAGUUGAGCAGCUUACAUUUUUGACUCGAGUUGCAAAAACGCCUGCUCAGAAGCUUGAAAUCUUGUUCAGUGUGAUAUCUUCCCAGUUUGAUAUCAAUCUGAGUAUUAGUGGUCACAUGCCUAUAAAUAUUUGGAAAAAGUGCUUAGACAAUUUCCUAGGUGCGUUAGACAUCCUUGAGCAGAAUCCAAACAUAGUGGUUGAUCAAUCUGCCGAGCCUGAAGAUAAGGAAUCACAUAAAGAUUCAGAUUAUGAAGGAACCAUCCAUAUCUCAGGGAGCUUAGUAGCUUUGCUUGACCGGCUAGAUACUGAAUUUUACAAGAGCUUGCAAUGCAUUGAUCCCCAUACCAAGGAGUAUGUUGAUAGACUUAGAGAUGAGCCUAUGUUUUCUCUUCUUGCUCAAAAUGUUCAAAGAUAUUUGGAAAAAAUGGGUGAUUUUAAAGGAGCUUCCAAAGUGGCUUUGAGACAGGUUGAGCUUAUAUAUUAUAAGCCUCAGGAAGUUUACGACUCGAUGAGAAAACUAGCAGAACAUGAAGCUCUUGACAGAGAACUUGGUGGAGAUGAGAAUCAAAAUGCCGAAGAAAUCAAAGGACCUUCUGCAUUUAUUGUUAUCCCAAAAGUUGUUCCACGGAGUCCUACGUUCCCAGAAAGUAGCCGAGCAUUGAUGGAUAGAUUGGUUUCCCUUAUAUACAAGAGUGGUGAUGAAAGGACGAAGGCUCGAACAAUGCUCUGUGAUAUCUAUCACCAUGCCAUCUUUGAUGAAUUUUCCAUUGCUUGUGAUCUUUUACUAAUGAGUCAUCUCCAGGAAGGAGUCCAACAUAUGGACAUAUUGACACAAAUGCUGUUCAAUAGGGUGAUGGCUCAACUUGGUCUCUGUGCUUUUAGAGCUGGCCUUACUAAAGAAGCUCACGGAUGCCUUUCUGAACUCUAUUCAGGUGGAAGGGUAAGGGAGUUGCUUGCCCAAGGUAUCUCGCAAAAUCGAUAUUAUGAAAAGACUCUAGAGCAGGUAUCUUUGUAUUAGAUAUUUAAGUUUUUUAUUUAUAUAUUUUUUACUCACGAAUCAUAUCAUUUUGUUCUUUUCUAAAAUACAUUGCAAGAUUUCCUAUGCUUGUGACGAGCAGAUAGUCGCAUAUAUAUGUCAUAUUGUAACUGCGCAAAUUUCGGCUUGCAUAUUUGCAAGCAUGUGAUUGUAUGUUUGGUGGAAAUUUACGCAGAUCCAUGCUAGAAUUUUGACCCCAUCUCGAUGGAAGAUUUAAAUUUCAUUAGUUAGUAGAUGACCGUCAACCGACCGGUCGAAUAAUUAACAAGUAUCAAGUUCAUUUAUGAUAAAGUGUAGAGAAAGUGAUGGGAUUUGUGAGAAUCUAGGAUUGCAGCAACAUGCCAAUCCUCAACAUUUAGCUAUGGAAGAUGAAUAAACGAUAGUCAUGAUCUCAAGCUAUAAGAUGAUUGAACUCUUUAGAGCUUUUUUUUAAAUUCUUAUAAGUAAUAUCAUUAUGUUACGAAGUAUGAACACUCAACUUUCUUUUAGUUUGUGUUUUGAACCUUAUUGCUUGAGAUACAUAAAUAUCUUUCUAAGUAUUUAAACCUUAUUUUUAAGAUACUAAGCAUUUUCUAAAUAUGAUAUAGGCUUAUAAGCUUAUUUAUCCCUAUUUUUUUUGCAUUAUAUUACCCACUGAAAAUCCAUUCUUCAUUAUUUCUCUCAUAGUCUAAUAUUCACUUUAUUGUAAUUAUUUUCAUUUACUAUUUAUCAAUUGACUGUCUAUGCUAAUUGACUAUGGCUGUUCUUUGUCUAUUUAUUUGGAUGCCUUUUAUUAUAAAAAAAUACAGUGUGAUAAUUAGAUUUUUAUAUGUGAUUGCUGCUGUUAUUGUAAAUAUAAUUGCUUUGUUUUCUUGUGCAAUCAUGAUGCAUUGAUUUGCAUAUUGAAUGUUUUCAUAGUUCAUCUUUUUAUGUUGUAAGAUAUGGAUUUAUUUGGGUUUGUUUUGUUUUUUGCAGGAAAAAAUUGAGAGGAUGAGACAAAUGCCCUACCAUAUGCACAUAAAUCUUGAGCUUCUAGAAGCAGUCCAUUUAAUUUGUGCUAUGCUCCUUGAGGUUCCCAACAUGGCUCUAAACUCAAAUGAUGUUAGACAGAAAGUGAUGAAUAAGAAUUUCCGUAGACUCCUUGAUAUUAGUGAACGACAGACUUUUGGAGGACCUCCUGAAAAUGUUAGAGACCAUAUAAUGGCUGCGGCAAAAGGUCUUAGAAAGGGAGAUUUUGAGAAGGCCUUUGAUUUCAUCAGCUUCCUUGAUACAUGGAAGCUUUUGAAGAACAAAGAAAGUGUUCUGGCAAUGUUGAAAUCCAAGAUCAAAGAAGAAGCUUUAAGGACAUAUUUAAUUUCCAAUGCGUGUAGCUACGUGUCGUUGAGUUUGGAUCAUCUCAUUCUUAUGUUUGGCCUUUCUAACACACAAGUUCACAGCAUUGUGAGUAAGAUGAUGAUCACAGAGGAAUUGCAAGCAAGCUGGGACCAACCUGCAAAGUGUAUAAUAUUCCAUAGUAUGGAGCAAACAAGAGUGCAGACCCUCUCUUUCCAGCUUUCGGACAAACUCAAUGUUCUUGCUGAUAGCAAUGAAAGAGCAUAUGAGGUCCGAACAGGUGGUAGUUUGGAUGGGCUUCCUUC
rnacentral:lncRNA from 1 species